rnacentral:rRNA from 1 species
GACGAACGCUGGCGGCGUGCCUAAUACAUGCAAGUCGAGCGGACGAAUCGAAAGCUUGCUUUUGAUACGUUAGCGGCGGACGGGUGAGUAACACGUGGGCAACCUGCCCUGUAGACGGGGAUAACACCGAGAAAUCGGUGCUAAUACCGGAUAACACGAAAUGUCGCAUGACGUUUCGUUGAAAGACGGCGCAAGCUGUCGCUACAGGAUGGGCCCGCGGCGCAUUAGCUAGUUGGUGAGGUAACGGCUCACCAAGGCGACGAUGCGUAGCCGACCUGAGAGGGUGAUCGGCCACACUGGGACUGAGACACGGCCCAGACUCCUACGGGAGGCAGCAGUAGGGAAUCUUCCGCAAUGGACGAAAGUCUGACGGAGCAACGCCGCGUGAGCGAAGAAGGCCUUCGGGUCGUAAAGCUCUGUUGUUAGGGAAGAACAAGUAACGCAGUAACUGGCGUUACCGUGACGGUACCUAACGAGAAAGCCACGGCUAACUACGUG